CUCCUCCCCCAGGCCUGCGCUCGGCCACCCGCACCACCGUCCGGGAGCCCCUCUGCGCCUCCGGGAGCCAGUUUCCGAGAAGAUGAGAGCCCUUCAGGUCGGGCCCACCUGUCUCACCAGCCUCUCUGGACUCAGCCUCCUGGGUUUGUCCACAACAGCCUCUGUCAGUGCUGCUCAGGGCGCCGGUUGGCACAGAGGCGAGGCAGAACGGAAGUCCUCUGCAUUGCAGCGCACGCUGUCGAGGGCGCCUGAAUCUGGAUUAUAGAAGUCUGUGAUCUGCGGGGGCCCAAGUCACGGAAGCGCUUGGCUCACUGACGUCUACACAUGCACACAGCUGUUUAGUGCAGGGAU
rnacentral:lncRNA from 1 species